GCACUGGUGGUUCAGUGGUAGAAUUGUCGCCUGUCACGCGGGACCUCCGGGUUCGGUUCCCGGCCAGUGCA
rnacentral:tRNA from 1 species